rnacentral:rRNA from 1 species
AGUUUGAUCCUGGCUCAGGACGAACGCUUUCGGCGUGCUUAACACACGCAAGUCGAACGGAAAGGCCCUUCGGGGUACUCGAGUGGCGAACGGGUGAGUAACACGUGGGUGAUCUGCCCUGCACUUUGGGAUAAGCCUGGGAAACUGGGUCUAAUACCAAAUAGGACCACGCGCUUCGAGGUGUGUGGAGGAAAGCUUUUGCGGUGUGGGAUGGGCCCGCGGCCUAUCAGCUUGUUGGUGGGGUAAUGGCCUACCAAGGCGACGACGGGUAGCCGGCCUGAGAGGGUGACCGGCCACACUGGGACUGAGAUACGGCCCAGACUCCUACGGGAGGCAGCAGUGGGGAAUAUUGCACAAUGGGCGCAAGCCUGAUGCAGCGACGCCGCGUGAGGGAUGACGGCCGUCGGGUUGUAAACCUCUUUCAGUAGGGACGAAGCGCAAGUGACGGUACCUAUAGAAGAAGCACCGGCCAACUACGUGCCAGCAGCCGCGGUAAUACGUAGGGUGCGAGCGUUGUCCGGAAUUACUGGGCGUAAAGAGCUCGUAGGUGGUUUGUCGCGUUGUUCGUGAAAACUCACAGCUUAACUGUGGGCGUGCGGGCGAUACGGGCAGACUAGAGUACUGCAGGGGAGACUGGAAUUCCCGGUGUAGCGGUGGAAUGCGCAGAUAUCAGGAGGAACACCGGUGGCGAAGGCGGGUCUCUGGGCAGUAACUGACGCUGAGGAGCGAAAGCGUGGGGAGCGAACAGGAUUAGAUACCCUGGUAGUCCACGCCGUAAACGGUGGGUACUAGGUGUGGGUUCCUUCCCUGGGAUCCGUGCCGUAGCUAACGCAUUAAGUACCCCGCCUGGGGAGUACGGCCGCAAGGCUAAAACUCAAAGGAAUUGACGGGGGCCCGCACAAGCGGCGGAGCAUGUGGAUUAAUUCGAUGCAACGCGAAGAACCUUACCUGGGUUUGACAUGCACAGGACGCCGGCAGAGAUGUCGGUUCCCUUGUGGCCUGUGUGCAGGUGGUGCAUGGCUGUCGUCAGCUCGUGUCGUGAGAUGUUGGGUUAAGUCCCGCAACGAGCGCAACCCUUGUCCUAUGUUGCCAGCGGGUUAUGCCGGGGACUCGUAGGAGACUGCCGGGGUCAACUCGGAGGAAGGUGGGGAUGACGUCAAGUCAUCAUGCCCCUUAUGUCCAGGGCUUCACACAUGCUACAAUGGCCGGUACAAAGGGCUGCGAUGCCGUGAGGUGGAGCGAAUCCUUUCAAAGCCGGUCUCAGUUCGGAUCGGGGUCUGCAACUCGACCCCGUGAAGUCGGAGUCGCUAGUAAUCGCAGAUCAGCAACGCUACGGUGAAUACGUUCCCGGGCCUUGCACUCACCGCCCGUCA